GUACUGAAAAGAAGAAAUCUUCAGCAAAAAUAGGGAGCAGCUGAGUGUGAGAGGACAGGUGCAAACGCUCCUGACAAGGCUAUUGAAUAAAAGGGGGAUGGGGGAAAGCAGAGCUUUGCUGCUUAACGAAGGAUGCUCUUUGCAGAAGACUGCAUGUGAACUACAUUGCAAUGAAUGUGGGUGUGAAAGAGUAUUAGAGUGGGAGAGACACAGGCAAAGAGAGUUCUGCAUCAAUAUAUAUUGGAAUCUAUGGGGAGAAGAGGGAAUUUGCUAAUUCUGGAAUGAGGAGCCUAACUGGGCCUUAAACCUUACAGAGUGCAAAGGAAACUUCCAGGUGGAAAAAACGUUAAAAUGUCCAGGAAACCCAGACACUGCUGGUACUGUACAGGGCAUGCCAGGUCUGAGCAAGUCUGGCCUCUUCACAUGGCACAGCAGCUAUACCUGCCUCUUUGGACCUGCAACAGGUUUGAUCCUGUUCUCACCUUUCAAUAUUUGGGAGGUGCUACCUGUCUGUCUGCACCCCUGAGACCCCCAUGCUGCCCCAGCCACGCUUGUAAGAGCUAUCCGUCUCUCAGAUUCUGUAACUGUCAAACACAAUUGAAUUGCUCAGAGUAAUUGCUCCUGCCCUUAUCUUAACGUGUGCUUUGAUCUUGAAAGUGUCCAUUCUGGCUGCAUCCCACAGAGCUAUCUGGUAAGAUCUCGGGUGGGCUAAAUACAUGAUGGAAGCAUAGACCUGGAAAUAAAUGUAGUUCUAACCUUAUUUUUCUCUUGAUGAGAAUUGUUGAGUCUUCCUUUAUGUCCCUAAGGAUGCAAUCUCUUUUUAUCCAAGUGAAAUUCUCCUCUCCAAGGAUUUUCAUGCUGCAACCUUUCCUCUUUUAUCCGGGAAGAGACAGAAGAUAUUCCCACGCCUUCUGUGUCAACAGCUACCUGUAUUAUUUUAGGGACUCCUCUCUCUGGGAUGAACAGGAUUAUGUUUGAUAAAUCAAGGCUUGGUUAUCAAACAAAAUCCUCAUUUCUAACCACAUGAUGCUGAGACUGACAAGCUGUAACCAAAAUGGCACACAAAUAAUGCCAGAGCAGCCGAGCUGCUGUAGUCUCUGAUGGUGGAGAGUGAAAGGUCAGGCCACUGCAGAGGCUCAGCCACCAAAGCAAUUUUAGGCUGUGCUCUGACAUGCAUUUGGAAAGGGUGACUGUGUUUAGCCUUUUGCUGCAGUGGACUCAGCAUCUCUGAUACAAGCCACCCCAACCUGCAGCUCAGUUCUCUGCAGCAUUCCCAGCUCUUUUCUGCAACAUCAGAACAAAACAAGACGAACCCGCUACAGUCUGUAGCCACCUAAUUGAAAGUUUCUGAGCCUGGCGGUCUCUAUUAUCCUGAAUUUCUGGUGGAAACAGUAUAUUCCAAGCUUCCCCCAAUUAUAGCUACCAGCAGCACAAGCAGCAGCUCUUGCACUCGGGCUUGGUCCUCCCACACACCAGUUCCUCGCUGUUUUGUUGCCUCAGGAUGGAGUUGCCUGGCAACAGGACUGCAUCUUGGGGAGACAAAAGCCAUUAUUUCUGUCACACAGAUGUGCUAAUGUGAUUAUUGACUGAGGAUGGGCGGGAGACAAGAUACACAUGACAGGUCAGAUUUCAGAUACUUGAGAAUUCCCAGGCAAGUGGUUUUUAAGAGAGAAAGGCAGAGAACCUGAAAGAAAGGAAAUUAGGGGGUGGAGGGAUCAGGCAGGUAGAUGGUAGGUACAGCAUGGGCUAAGGCAAAUGUGCUCAUAGAUCUUACAGAAAACCAGUUUCAUUCAAGAAACAUAAUAAAAGCCCACUUUGGUGUGUUGUAGCUGAUGAACUUUUACCAAGUUCCUCCUAGAUUCCUGCAGAUGGUCUGGAUGCAGGCAGCUGCACCCAGUACUCAGUCACGUCUCAUGGAAGAACUGUCCUGGAAUAGAACCUGACACUCUGGAAAUGCUGGUGAUCAGACAACCUUGCAGAUGCUCAGCGAGUACCAGCAUCCCUGCCUAAUCAUUGCUGACAAAGAUGUUUUUCACCUGCUUUAUUCCAAUCUGAAUCAAGACCAAAUGGCGAAAAGAAACUUAUUUUCUCCUGCCACCAGUCUUUCCGUGUUCACAUGUAUGUUUGUGCUGAAUGGAGGGGCAGAGAAAGCCAUAACCAAGCAGUGACCAUUUACUAUUUCACGUUUAUUGAGGGGUUGCAGGAUUAUGCUGACAGAUUUAGAUUUCAAGGCAGCUUUCCUUUUAUAAGUUACUUUUUUAAGCAGGAGCAACAAACAAAAAACCCAAACAAACAUUGCACUCCCUCUAGGUACCUAUUAAGGUGGCUUGUGUAAUGCUUUCCUCUGGCUGUGCAAAUCUGUGGGAAGAGCCUUGGCUUCUCCUUUCAGGAGAUGCGGGAUG